GUUCCUGUAGCUCAGGGGAUAGAGCACUCGUUUCCUAAACGGGGUGUCGCUGGUUCAAUUCCAGUCAGGAACG
rnacentral:tRNA from 2 species